rnacentral:misc_RNA from 1 species
UUGAAAACUAUUCUAAUAGUUCUCAAUUAAAACCCCUUUGUUUUAUACCAUGUUGCUUCCACUGGACAGGCUAAACUUGUUAUAUCAGGUGAAGCCCCCUAGAUUGUGUCUUUGGCACUCUUUGGGGAGCUGCCGGUGGGUAAAACCUAUAAAUUCUAUGUUUAAACCUAUUUGUCUGAUAAAUAUUGAAAUAAAAUAAAACUUUCAACAACGGAUCUCUAGGCUCUUGCAUCGAUGAAGAACGCAGUGAAAUGCGAUAAGUAAUGUGAAUUGCAGAAUCUCGUGAAUCAUCGAAUCUUUGAACGCACAUUGCGAUCGGCUACUUGGUCAUUUAGAGGAAGUAAAAGUCGUAACAAGGCUUCCGUAGGUGAACCUGCGGAAGGAUCAUUACCAAAUGAAACAUGGUUGGGUUGUUGCUGUCCCUCGGUGGAAUGUGCACACCCUGCCGUUGUGUCCACCUCCUCACCCGUGCACCUCCUUGUAGACCGCAUUGCUCUUUUGGAUCCAGAAGCUUGCUCUCUCAAGAGAAAAGAGCGUUUGGAUGCUCUUGGGGAUUUGCCGUGAUGGCUCGCCCUGGGCAUGUCCGGUCUACGCCUUUGUAUCAAAAAACCCCUGUCAAACACGUUUGUUGUUGAUCCUGCUAAUGCACACUA